rnacentral:rRNA from 1 species
CAGUCGCCACGGUAAUACGAAGGGGGCUAGCGUUGCUCGGAAUUACCGGGCGUAAAGGGAGCGUAGGCGGACAUUUAAGUCAGGGGUGAAAUCCCAGAGCUCAACUCUGGAACUGCCUUUGAUACUGGGUGUCUUGAGUGUGAUAGAGGUAUGUGGAACUCCGAGUGUAGAGGUGAAAUUCGUAGAUAUUCGGAAGAACACCAGUGGCGAAGGCGACAUACUGGAUCAUUACUGACGCUGAGGCUCGAAAGCGUGGGGAGCAAACAGGAUUAGAUACCCCUGUAGUCCCUGUCUCUUAUAC